UCACUUAACCCUGGCAGGGGAGAUACCAUGAUUAUGAAAGUGGUUUUCCCAGGGUGAGGCUUAUCUGUUGCACUCCCUACGUGCUGACCCCUGUGAUUUCCCCAAAGUGAGAAAUCUAGAUGCAUAAUUUAUGGUAGCGGGGGACCGUGUUUGAGCUCUCUCCUG
ensembl:snRNA U1 U1 spliceosomal RNA